AUCUUUGCGCUUGGGGCAAUGACGCAGCUAGGGAGGUACUAACUGAAGCGCGUAUAUUGCUGAUUGAAAACUGAUGAGACCGAUAAGUUGAUAAUUUUAUUGUCAGUUAACUCUUUUAAUUAUCUCCUUAGUA
rnacentral:snRNA from 1 species